rnacentral:rRNA from 1 species
UACGUAGGCAGCAAGCGUUGUUCGGAAUUACUGGGCGUAAAGCGUGCGCAGGCGGUUCGCCAAGUCAGGUGUGAAAUCCCCGGGCUUAACCUGGGAAUUGCGCUUGAAACUAGCGGGCUUGAGUGUGGCAGAGGGGGGUGGAAUUCCACGUGUAGCAGUGAAAUGCGUAGAGAUGUGGAGGAACACCGAUGGCGAAGGCAGCCCCCUGGGUCAACACUGACGCUCAUGCACGAAAGCGUGGGGAGCAAACAGG